AGAGUUUGAUCCUGGCUCAGGACGAACGCUGGCGGCGUGCUUAACACAUGCAAGUCGAACGAGAACGGGUCUUAGCUUGCUAAGAUUGACAGCUAAGUGGCGCACGGGUGAGUAAUAUAUAGGUAACGUGCCUUCGAGAAGGGGAUAACGUUUGGAAACGAACGCUAAUACCCUAUAUGCCUUUAAGUCUUAAGACUGCAAGGGAAAUAUUUAUAGCUCGAAGAUCGGCCUGUACAGUAUCAGUUAGUUGGUGAGGUAAUGGCUCACCAAGACAAUGACGCUUAACUGGUUUGAGAGGAUGAUCAGUCACACUGGAACUGAGACACGGUCCAGACUCCUACGGGAGGCAGCAGUGGGGAAUAUUGCACAAUGGACGGAAGUCUGAUGUAGCAACGCCGCGUGGAGGAUGACACAUUUCGGUGCGUAAACUCCUUUUAUAUAGGAAGAUAAUGACGGUACUAUAUGAAUAAGCACCGGCUAACUCCGUGCCAGCAGCCGCGGUAAU
rnacentral:rRNA from 1 species